UACGGGGGGAGCAAGCGUUGUUCGGAUUUACUGGGCGUAAAGGGCGCGUAGGCGGCGUGACUAGUCACUUGUGAAAUCUCCGGGCUUAACUCGGAACGGUCAAGUGAUACUGUCGUGCUAGAGUACAGAAGGGGCAACUGGAAUUCUCGGUGUAGCGGUGAAAUGCGUAGAUAUCGAGAGGAACACCUGCGGCGAAGGCGGGUUGCUGGGCUGAUACUGACGCUGAGGCGCGAAAGCCAGGGGAGCGAACGGG
rnacentral:rRNA from 1 species